rnacentral:rRNA from 1 species
GCUGAUGCGUUGUUGGGUAGGGGAGCGUUCUGUAAGCCUGCGAAGGUGGCCUGUGAGGGUUGCUGGAGGUAUCAGAAGUGCGAAUGCUGACAUAAGUAACGAUAAAGCGGGUGAAAAGCCCGCUCGCCGGAAGACCAAGGGUUCCUGUCCAACGUUAAUCGGGGCAGGGUGAGUCGACCCCUAAGGCGAGGCCGAAAGGCGUAGUCGAUGGGAAACGGGUUAAUAUUCCCGUACUUGGUGUUACUGCGAAGGGGGGACGGAGAAGGCUAUGUUGGCCGGGCGACGGUUGUCCCGGUUUAAGCGUGUAGGUGUGUGUUCCAGGUAAAUCCGGUUCACUUUAACACUGAGGCGUGACGACGAGGCACUACGGUGCUGAAGCAACAAAUGCCCUGCUUCCAGGAAAAGCCUCUAAGCAUCAGGUAACAUCAAAUCGUACCCCAAACCGACACAGGUGGUCAGGUAGAGAAUACCAAGGCGCUUGAGAGAACUCGGGUGAAGGAACUAGGCAAAAUGGUGCCGUAACUUCGGGAGAAGGCACGCUGACACGUAGGUGAAGUGAUUUACUCAUGGAGCUGAAGUCAGUCGAAGAUACCAGCUGGCUGCAACUGUUUAUUAAAAACACAGCACUGUGCAAACACGAAAGUGGACGUAUACGGUGUGACGCCUGCCCGGUGCCGGAAGGUUAAUUGAUGGGGUCAGCGCAAGCGAAGCUCCUGAUCGAAGCCCCGGUAAACGGCGGCCGUAACUAUAACGGUCCUAAGGUAGCGAAAUUCCUUGUCGGGUAAGUUCCGACCUGCACGAAUGGCGUAAUGAUGGCCAGGCUGUCUCCACCCGAGACUCAGUGAAAUUGAACUCGCUGUGAAGAUGCAGUGUACCCGCGGCAAGACGGAAAGACCCCGUGAACCUUUACUAUAGCUUGACACUGAACAUUGAGCCUUGAUGUGUAGGAUAGGUGGGAGGCUUUGAAGUGUGGACGCCAGUCUGCAUGGAGCCGACCUUGAAAUACCACCCUUUAAUGUUUGAUGUUCUAACGUGGACCCGUGAUCCGGGUUGCGGACAGUGUCUGGUGGGUAGUUUGACUGGGGCGGUCUCCUCCUAAAGAGUAACGGAGGAGCACGAAGGUUGGCUAAUCCUGGUCGGACAUCAGGAGGUUAGUGCAAUGGCAUAAGCCAGCUUGACUGCGAGCGUGACGGCGCGAGCAGGUGCGAAAGCAGGUCAUAGUGAUCCGGUGGUUCUGAAUGGAAGGGCCAUCGCUCAACGGAUAAAAGGUACUCCGGGGAUAACAGGCUGAUACCGCCCAAGAGUUCAUAUCGACGGCGGUGUUUGGCACCUCGAUGUCGGCUCAUCACAUCCUGGGGCUGAAGUAGGUCCCAAGGGUAUGGCUGUUCGCCAUUUAAAGUGGUACGCGAGCUGGGUUUAGAACGUCGUGAGACAGUUCGGUCCCUAUCUGCCGUGGGCGCUGGAGAACUGAGGGGGGCUGCUCCUAGUACGAGAGGACCGGAGUGGACGCAUCACUGGUGUUCGGGUUGUCAUGCCAAUGGCACUGCCCGGUAGCUAAAUGCGGAAGAGAUAAGUGCUGAAAGCAUCUAAGCACGAAACUUGCCCCGAG